rnacentral:other from 1 species
CAAGCCCUACUUUGUCCGUGGCAUUCUCGAAGUUCUGAGCCAACACCGACGCAUUGGGAGCCCGGCCUCUGGUUGCGGCUUGCAGGCCUCCGCCGCGAGGAAGCGAAAAACAACCAGGAGGGCACCCACCAGUUCUGAGAUUGGGUUCAGGAAACUUUGAGCGGAGCCACGGCAAUGUGGGGUUUUA